UGGGGAAUAUUGGACAAUGGGGGGCAACCCUGAUCCAGCCAUGCCGCGUGAGUGAUGAAGGCCUUCGGGUUGUAAAGCUCUUUUGGCGGGGACGAUGAUGACGGUACCCGCAGAAUAAGCCCCGGCUAACUUCGUGCCAGCAGCCGCGGUAAGACGAAGGGGGCUAGCGUUGUUCGGAAUUACUGGGCGUAAAGCGAGUGUAGGCGGUUGCCGUAGUCAGGUGUGAAAGCCUUGAGCUCAACUCAAGAAAUGCACUUGAUACUGGGUGACUAGAGGACCGGAGAGGAUAGUGGAAUUCCCAGUGUAGUGGUGAAAUACGUAGAGAUUGGGAAGAACACCAGUGGCGAAGGCGGCUAUCUGGACGGUUACUGACGCUAAGACUCGAAAGCGUGGGGAGCAAACAGGAUUAGAUACCCCUGGUAGUCCACGCCGUAAACGAUGGGUGCUAGACGUUGGCGAGCUUGCUCGUCAGUGUCGCAGCCAACGCGUUAAGCACCCCGCCUGGGGAGUACGGCCGCAAGGGUUGAAANUCAAAUGAUUGACGGGGUCAUAGCUGUUUCCCU
rnacentral:rRNA from 1 species